rnacentral:rRNA from 1 species
AGAGUUUGAUCCUGGCUCAGAACGAACGCUGGCGGCGUGUCUUAAGCAUGCAAGUCGAGCGGCAAGGGCAGCAAUGCCCCUAGAGCGGCGGACUGGUGAGUAACACGUGGGUGAUCUACCUCGGGGUUGGGGAUAGCCAUUAGAAAUAGUGGGUAAUACCGAAUACGCUGCCUUGACUACGGUCAGGGCAGGAAAGGCGCUACGGCGCCGACCUGAGAUGAGCCCGCGCCCCAUUAGCUAGUUGGUGAGGUAACGGCCCACCAAGGCUAUGAUGGGUAGGCGGCCUGAGAGGGUGUACGCCCACACUGGGACUGAGAUACGGCCCAGACUCCUACGGGAGGCAGCAGCUAAGAAUAUUCCGCAAUGGACGAAAGUCUGACGGAGCGACGCCGCGUGGAUGAUGAAGGCCGGAAGGUUGUAAAAUCCUUUUGUCGGGGAAGAAUAACCAUGGGAGGGAAUGCCCGUGGGAUGACAUGAACCGGCGAAUAAGCCCCGGCUAACUACGUGCCAGCAGCCGCGGUAACACGUAGGGGGCGAGCGUUGUUCGGAAUUACUGGGCGUAAAGGGCAUGUAGGCGGUUUUGUAAGCCUGACGUGAAAKRCYAUGGCUCAACCAUGGCACUGCGUUGGGAACUGCGAGACUUGAAUCAUGGAGAGGGAGCUGGAAUUCCAGGUGUAGGGGUGAAAUCUGUAGAUAUCUGGAAGAACACCAGUGGCGAAGGCGAGCUCCUGGCCAAUGAUUGACGCUGAGGUGCGAAAGUGUGGGGAUCAAACAGGAUUAGAUACCCUGGUAGUCC